rnacentral:rRNA from 1 species
GACGAACGCUGGCGGCGCGCUUAACACAUGCAAGUCGAGCGAGAACCAGGUCUUCGGACCUGGGGAAAGCGGCGAACGGGUGAGUAACACGUGAGUAAUCCACCCUCGGCACCGGGAUAGCCCGGGGAAACUCGGAUUAAUACCGGAUGGCCCAACAGCUCUUCGGGGCGGUUGGAAAAGGUAGCUUCGGCCUCCGGCCGAGGACGAGCUCGCGGCGGAUUAGCUUGUUGGUGGGGUAAUGGCCUACCAAGGCGACGAUCCGUAGCUGGUCUGAGAGGACGAUCAGCCACACUGGGACUGAGACACGGCCCAGACUCCUACGGGAGGCAGCAGUGGGGAAUCUUGCACAAUGGGCGAAAGCCUGAUGCAGCGACGCCGCGUGAGGGAAGAAGGCUUUCGGGUUGUAAACCUCUUUCAGGAGGGACGAAGCUACUCGGGUUAAUAGCCCAGAGGGUGACGGUACCUCCAGAAGAAGCCCCGGCUAACUACGUGCCAGCCGCCGCCGUAAAAC